GUAGGUGGCAAGCGUUGUCCGGAAUUAUUGGGCGUAAAGCGCGCGCAGGCGGUUCUUUAAGUCUGAUGUGAAAGCCCACGGCUCAACCGUGGAGGGUCAUUGGAAACUGGAGAACUUGAGUACAGAAGAGGAAAGCGGAAUUCCACGUGUAGCGGUGAAAUGCGUAGAGAUGUGGAGGAACACCAGUGGCGAAGGCGGCUUUCUGGUCUGUAACUGACGCUGAGGCGCGAAAGCGCGGGGAGCAAACAGGAUUAGAUACCCUGGUAGUCCACGCCGUAAACGAUGAGUGCUAAGUGUUAGGGGGUUUCCGCCCCCCUUAGUGCUGCAGCUAACGCAUUAAGCACUCCGCCUGGGAGUACGGCCGCAAGGCUG
rnacentral:rRNA from 1 species